GCAACACUUUCUUUUGAACAGAUUUGCCCUUUGUAGCUAAAGAGUUUGCAAGCUCUCCAGAGGAAGGUACGAAUUUUUGGGGGAACAUCAAGCAAAUAUGUUGUAUGGAGCAAAUUACAUUUAGGAGCAUGAUGAUGGAGCAACAUGUGGCUGUACAAUGCCCUGAGGCAUGAAACAAAUAAAAGAAAUUAAAAGAAACAGCAACUGGCAUUGGGUGUGAUCUACAAGGUCCAUGCACAAAUGUCACAGCUGAGCCGUGGGAUCCAGCCUCCAGGACAGCGCACAGCCAAGACGUGCACACUCUUUUACCCAGCCAACCCUAACACCAUAAAUAGCCCAAUUUUCAUUAGGAGUGGAGUCUUUAGCCGAUGAUAGAAGACCAAGCCGCUGAUUGAAGACUCAAUCUGGAGGAAGCUUUACCAGAUUUGAAUAAUUUUGCAAGUUCCUUCUAAACUUUAUUUUCUUUAAUUGUAUUAUAAGAUUUUAUUAUUUUAGAAUGAUAAAUUUAGGAGAGCAUUUAUCGGAAUUGGGUCUUGUUUCUUUGAUGACGUUGAACUAAAUUUUUAUCUAGGGAAUUUUGAUGUAGCUUGAGGUUUAAUUUAAUUUGAUUUAUUUAGCUUGAUUAUCG
rnacentral:misc_RNA from 1 species